CAAAAGAUAGUUUAGUUAAAAUGUUGGCUUUGGGGGCCAGGGNUCGGGCUUAUAGUCCUCUUUUGA
rnacentral:tRNA from 1 species